rnacentral:rRNA from 1 species
AACGCCGCGUGAGUGAAGAAGGUUUCGGAUCGUAAAGCUCUGUUGUUAGGGAAGAACAAGUGCCGUUCAAAUAGGGCGGCACCUUGACGGUACCUAACCAGAAAGCCACGGUUAACUACGUGCCAGCAGCCGCGGAAAUACGUAGGUGGCAAGCGUUGUCCGGAAUUAUUGGGCGUAAAGGGCUCGCAGGCGGUUUCUUAAGUCUGAUGUGAAAGCCCCCGGUUCAACCGGGGAGGGUCAUUGGAAACUGGGGAACUUGAGUGCAGAAGAGGAGAGUGGAAUUCCACGGGUAGCGGGGAAAUGCGUAAAGAUGUGGAGGAACACCAGGGGCGAAGGCGACUCUCUGGUCUGUAACUGACGCUGAGGAGCGAAAGCGUGGGGAGCGAACAGGAUUAGAUACCCUGGUAGUCCACGCCGUAAACGAUGAGUGCUAAGUGUUAGGGGGUUUCCGCCCCUUAGUGCUGCAGCUAACGCAUUAAGCACUCCGCCUGGGGAGUACGGUCGCAAGACUGAAACUCAAAGGAAUUGACGGGGGCCCGCACAAGCGGUGGAGCAUGUGGUUUAAUUCGAAGCAACGCGAAGAACCUUACCAGGUCUUGACAUCCUCUGACAAUCCUAGAGAUAGGACGUCCCCUUCGGGGGCAGAGUGACAGGUGCUGCUCU